UGUGCGUGUGUGGGACGAGUUCAGGGGGAAGAAAGGGAGGCCAUGCUCCCUUGAAGCUUCAAGGGCAAAUUCAACAAAUUGAAAAGGAAGAUUGGUGAUUUUGUCCAUGCAUGAGUCAGAUUUGUGAUCAUCUAUGCCUACUAAACACUAGGAUAUGCAUUGCAAUAGCAAGGAAUUAAGCAAGGAAAGCUAACGGGUCAAGAAAGGACAACGAGUGAAAGCGAAACACGGACGCUCAAAGUUACAUGAAUACCGUUAUCGUUGCAUAGGAACAUACGAACGAAGAUCGACACAAGUAGCUUGGAUUGUACGGAAGGGGAAUUAUGUAAAUAAUUUUCUUACGCUAAUCUUGUUACGUCACUAUGUAAAAGUUAUGUGAUGGUCUUUAUGAAUGAUGUCUUAAGAGCUUUAUAAGUAUGUUAAAUUGUUUU